rnacentral:lncRNA from 1 species
CGUCCCAACUUUCCAGACGGUCACCCAUCCUAGAACUAUUUUAGUUCUAACACGCUUAACUCUUUUAACCUCUUGAGUCAAGUCACCGCCUAAAACGCUACAGUCGGGUUAAGAGUUUUAACCAUAUUAUAUCUUAUAUAUAGGAUUACUUGGGGUCUCGCAUUCUCCUUCUUCUUUAAGCACUGACGUGCUCAUUAUGCUUAAACUAAUAAGUACCAGACGAUGUAAGACUCGUUUCGCUAGCCUAAAUCUAUCUUAUUGUUAGCCGCACUCCACUCACAAUAGACAUCGGCAUGAGAGCCUAGCUCUCCCUAUUGUAUAACCUGGCUCAGCCGAGACUCAUUUCACACUUUCGGCUUGUAAGUGGCUCUGAUACUAGCUGUGACGCCCUAAGUUCCUAGGGGGUCACCCAUCCUAGGACUACUCCUGUCCUAACCCGGCUUAAGUAUUUUGGGCGGCGGGUAAAUUCGAAAGGUUAAGAGAGUUAAACAUGCUGGACGGGAGUCGUCCUAGGAUGGGUGACCCCUUGGGAAGUUAGGGCAUCACAAAUUAAAUUUUAAAAAUUUUAGAAAUAGUACUAUUUCUAAAUAUGUUGAAUUUAAAUAUUAAAUAUAUUUAAAUUUAAAUUAGAGAAAUUUUGUAUUACUAUUUUAAAAAAAUUAAUAUUGGUAAAUAUUUAAAAUUCAACAUAUUUAAUAUGUUUAAAA